AGAGUUUGAUCCUGGCUCAGAUUGAACGCUGGCGGCAUGCCUUACACAUGCAAGUCGAACGGCAGCACGGGUGCUUGCACCUGGUGGCGAGUGGCGAACGGGUGAGUAAUAUAUCGGAACGUACCUUAUCGUGGGGGAUAACGCAGCGAAAGCUGCGCUAAUACCGCAUACGCCCUGAGGGGGAAAGCGGGGGACCGUAAGGCCUCGCGCGAUUAGAGCGGCCGAUAUCUGAUUAGCUUGUUGGUGGGGUAAAAGCCCACCAAGGCGACGAUCAGUAGCUGGUCUGAGAGGACGAUCAGCCACACUGGGACUGAGACACGGCCCAGACUCCUACGGGAGGCAGCAGUGGGGAAUUUUGGACAAUGGGGGCAACCCUGAUCCAGCAAUGCCGCGUGAGUGAAGAAGGCCUUCGGGUUGUAAAGCUCUUUUGUCAGGGAAGAAACAGCAGCUCUAACACAGUCUGCGAAUGACGGUACCUGAAGAAUAAGCACCGGCUAACUACGUGCCAGCAGCCGCGGUAAUACGUANGGUGCAAGCGUUAAUCGGAUUACUGGGCGUAAAGCGUGCGCAGGCGGUUAUACAAGACAGGCGUGA
rnacentral:rRNA from 1 species